rnacentral:rRNA from 1 species
AACUCCCAAACCCUAUGUGAACUUACCACUUGUUGCUUCGGCGCGCGCUUCGGCGCCGCCGAGGACACUUAAACUCUUUGUUUUUAUAAGCAUUUCUGAGUGGCCGAAAGGCAAAAAUACAAAUGAAUCAAAACUUUCAACAAUGGAUCUCUUGGUUCUGGCAUCGAUGAAGAACGCAGCGAAAUGCGAUAAGUAAUGUGAAUUGCAGAAUUCAGUGAAUCAUCGAAUCUUUGAACGCACAUUGCGCCCGCCAGCAUUCUGGCGGGCAUGCCUGUUCGAGCGUCAUUUCAACCCUCGAGCCCGACUCUUUUGAGGACGGCUCGGCGUUGGGGGACGGCAGACUCCCCCCGGCAUCUCGCCGGGGACGCCGCCCCCGAAAUCUAGUGGCGGCCCUCCGAGGCGACCUCUGCGUAGUAACUUGUUCUCGCACCGGAAAGCUCAGAGCGGCCACGCCGUAAAACCCCAACUUUUUUCAGGUUGACCUCGAAUCAGGUAGGACUACCCGCUGAACUUAAGCAUAUCAAU